rnacentral:rRNA from 1 species
UCAGGACGAACGCUGGCGGCGUGCCUAACACAUGCAAGUCGAGCGGAGACAUAUCACGGAGAUGAAGUUUCGGAUGGAGUCGAAGAGGUAUGUUUAGCGGCGGACGGGUGAGUAACGCGUGAGCAACCUGUCCUUCACAGGGGGAUAACACAGCGAAAGUUGUACUAAUACCGCAUAAGACCACGGCAGGACAUCCUGCAGGGGUCAAAGGAGCAAUCCGGUGAAGGGUGGGCUCGCGUCCGAUUAGAUAGUUGGUGAGGUAACGGCUCACUAAGUCGACGAUCGGUAGCUGACCUGAGAGGGUGAUCGGCCACAUUGGGACUGAGACACGGCCCAAACUCCUACGGGAGGCAGCAGUGGGGAAUAUUGGGCAAUGGGGGAACCCUGACCCAGCAGCGCCGCGUGAGGGAAGAAGGUUUUCGGAUCGUAAACCUCUGUCCUUGGUGAAGAGGAAGAGACGGUAGCCAAGGAGGAAGCCCCGGCUAACUACGUGCCAGCAGCAGC